CUGCCUCUCUAAGAAACCCCCUCCCCGCCCACGAUUGCAGGUGCACGUUGCUGUCCAGCUGGCCGCCACUGGACCUCCCUAGACCCCAGGCCAUUCACCGGGACACAGGCCAAAUCACCAGAGGCAACCAGCCUGCUCGAUGCUGGCAGGUGGACUACAUUGGGCCCUUGCCUCUUUCUAAUGGCUGCCAAUAUGCCCUUACUUGUGUGGACAUGUACACAGGACUCCUGCAGGCGUACCCCAGCACAAGGCAACACAAAGGACAACCAUAAGAGGCCUGGAACACCUCUGUGCUGUGUAUGAUGUGCCUGUCACAUUGACAGUGACCAAGGACAACGUCUGCCAACCUUUUCGCUGCUUGGGCACACACCGUUGCUGGCAUACAAAACCGCUCCAGCUGCUGGGUAUGCAGCCAGCUGCCUCUCUCUUCAACCACAGGCUUACCAUGGCUUCUCCAAGCUGCCCACACCUCUCACUGGAGAACCCCUCGAGAGUGGAGGAACACCACCCACUUUCCCAUUCCUACUCCCCUCCCGCCAAGUACCCUGUCCUUGCCCUCUUAUGCUGUCUCUCAAAAGUGUAUCUCCCAGCUUGUGCAUGAGCAGGUUAAUACAACCCCAGAGGUGUUGUGGUAUCUGGUUACAAUGCUCCUCUGUGUGUCUGGCUCAGGGACUCUGCGAAAGAAUGAUGUGAUAAGAUCGUGAGGGCCCUUCGGACACAUUAGGGGUGGAGUGUAGGGCCUGGGCCUUGCUUGCUCAGCAAGAACCCACAAGCCCAUUGCAUCCUUGUGUCCUUCUGGCUCCCCUCUGGGCAGGAUGUGUAGCAAUCCAGGGCCUGGCCAGCCCAGAUUCUACCUUAUCUCACUUCAGGAACAUCACAUCUUGAAGGGACACAGAGCCCCUCCACGUGAGCUCUGGUUCCUGGGAACUCUGGUCAUACCAAGGACAGCCUCUUGGCAGGCAUAUAGCCUUUGUAUCCCCUGAGUCUAUAAGAAACCCCCGCCCCGCCCGCAGUAGUGGGUGCACAUUGCUGUCCAGUCGGCGGCCACUGGAUUCCCUCGAAGUAACUCCCAAUAACCUGUAUGUCUCGUUUGAUGACUCUCGGUCUUUUCUUUGGUCUCUCCACAACCUAUCCCACACUGCUCACCCAACUGGACCUGCGGCCACAUAUAGAGAAAGGGUUUCUUUUAGGGGAGAGUAAAAUGUUCUAAAAUUAGAUUGUCAUGAUGGUUACACAACCCUGUGAAUAUAUUAAAAAAUAUUGAAUUAGGGGCUGGCCAGGUGGUGAAGCAGUUAAGUUUGUGCACUCUGCUUCG